rnacentral:misc_RNA from 1 species
CAACCCUCAGGCCCCCAGUGCCUGGUGUUGGGGAUCGGCAGCAGGGCGUCAAGCCCGCCGUCCCCGAAAUCUAGUGGCGGUCUCGCUGUAGUCCUCCUCUGCGUAGUAGCACAACCUCGCAGCUGGAACGCGGCGGUGGCCAUGCCGUUAAACACCCCACUUCUGAA